rnacentral:rRNA from 1 species
CAGUAGCCACGGUAAUACGAAGGGUGCAAGCGUUAAUCGGAAUUACUGGGCGUAAAGCGUGCGUAGGCGGUGAGUUAAGUCUGCUGUGAAAUCCCCGGGCUCAACCUGGGAAUGGCAGUGGAUACUGGCUCGCUAGAGUGUGUCAGAAGAUGGUGGAAUUCCCGGUGUAGCGGUGAAAUGCGUAGAGAUCGGGAGGAACAUCAGUGGCGAAGGCGGCCAUCUGGGACAACACUGACGCUGAGGCACGAAAGCGUGGGGAGCAAACAGGAUUAGAUACCCCCGUAGUCCCUGUCUCUUAUAC